GGCCAAGUUUUUAAGGGCGCACGGUGGAUGCCUUGGCACCAGGAACCGAUGAAGGACGUGGGAGGCCGCGAUAGGCCCCGGGGAGCUGUCAACCGAGCUGUGAUCCGGGGGUGUCCGAAUGGGGAAACCCGGCAGUCGUCAUGGGCUGUCACCUACACCUGAACGCAUAGGGUGUGUGGAGGGAACGCGGGGAAGUGAAACAUCUCAGUACCCGCAGGAAGAGAAAACAACCGUGAUUCCGGGAGUAGUGGCGAGCGAAACUGGAUGAGGCUAAACCGCAGGCGUGUGAUACCCGGCAGGGGUUGCGUGUGUGGGGUUGUGGGAGUUUGCUUGACUGGUCUGCCGGCCGGUCGGUGAGUGAUAAACCGUAUGGGUAGGCGAAGGGCAUGCGAAAGGCCCGGCGUAGAGGGUAAGACCCCCGUAGCUGAAAUCUGUACGGCUCGCUUGUGAACCACCCAAGUAGCAUGGGGCUCGAGGAAUCCUGUGUGAAUCUGGCGGGACCACCCGUUAAGCCUAANNNNNNNNNNNNNNNNNNNNNNNNNNNNAUUGAGUAGCGUGCCCUAGACCCGAAGCGGAGUGAUCUAGCCAUGGGCAGGGUGAAGCGGCUGUAAGAGGUCGUGGAGGCCCGAACCCACCAGGGUUGAAAACCUGGGGGAUGACCUGUGGUUAGGGGUGAAAGGCCAAUCAAACUCCGUGAUAGCUGGUUCUCCCCGAAAUGCAUUUAGGUGCAGCGUCGUGUGUUUCUUGCCGGAGGUAGAGCACUGGAUAGGCGAUGGGCCUUACCGGGUUACUGACCUUAGCCAAACUCCGAAUGCCGGUAAGUGAGAGCGCGGCAGUGAGACUGUGGGGGAUAAGCUCCAUGGUCGAGAGGGAAACAGCCCAGAGCAUCGACUAAGGCCCCUAAGCGUGUGCUAAGUGGGAAAGGAUGUGGAGUCGCAGAGACAACCAGGAGGUUGGCUUAGAAGCAGCCAUCCUUGAAAGAGUGCGUAAUAGCUCACUGGUCAAGUGAUUCUGCGCCGAUAAUGUAGCGGGGCUCAAGUACACCGCCGAAGUCGUGUCACUCNGGGUGGGUAGGGGAGCGUCGUGUGCCGGGUGAAGCAGCCGUGUAAGCGAGUUGUGGAUGGUUCACGAGUGAGAAUGCAGGCAUGAGUAGCGAUACAAGAGUGGGAAACUCUUGCGCCGAUUGACUAAGGGUUCCUGGGUCAAGCUGAUCUGCCCAGGGUAAGUCGGGGCCUAAGGCGAGGCCGACAGGCGUAGUCGAUGGAUAACCGGUUGAUAUUCCGGUACCCGUUAUGGAGCGUCCAGCACUGAAUCUUCUGAUGCUAAGGCCGUGAAGCCCCCNNNNNNNNNNNNNNNNNNNNNNNUGAGACCUGAUGCCGAGCCGUUGUGGUGAAGUGGAUGAUCCUAUGCUGUCGAGAAAAGCCUCUAGCGAGUUUCAUGGCGGCCCGUACCCUAAACCGACUCAGGUGGUCUGGUAGAGAAUACCGAGGCGUUCGGGUGAACUAUGGUUAAGGAACUCGGCAAAAUGCCCCCGUAACUUCGGGAGAAGGGGGGCCUCUUCUGGUGAUNNNNNNNNUGAGCUGGGGGUGGCCGCAGAGACCAGCGAGAAGCGACUGUUUACUAAAAACACAGGUCCGUGCGAAGCUGUAAGGCGAUGUAUACGGACUGACGCCUGCCCGGUGCUGGAACGUUAAGGGGACCGGUUAGCUCUAUUUCGGUAGGGCGAGGCUGAGAACUUAAGCGCCAGUAAACGGCGGUGGUAACUAUAACCAUCCUAAGGUAGCGAAAUUCCUUGUCGGGUAAGUUCCGACCUGCACGAAUGGCGUAACGACUUCUUGACUGUCUCAACCAUAGGCCCGGUGAAAUUGCAGUACGAGUAAAGAUGCUCGUUUCGCGCAGCAGGACGGAAAGACCCCGGGACCUUUACUAUAGCUUGAUAUUGGUGUUCGGUUCGGCUUGUGUAGGAUAGGUGGGAGACUGUGAAGCUAUCACGCUAGUGGUGGUGGAGUCGUUGUUGAAAUACCACUCUGGUCGUGCUGGAUGUCUAACCUGGGUCCGUGAUCCGGAUCAGGGACAGUGUCUGGUGGGUAGUUUAACUGGGGCGGUUGCCUCCUAAAGGGUAACGGAGGCGCCCAAAGGUUCCCUCAGCCUGGUUGGUCAUCAGGUGGUGAGUGUAAGUGCACAAGGGAGCUUGACUGUGAGACUGACGGGUCGAGCAGGGACGAAAGUCGGGACUAGUGAUCCGGCGGUGGCUUGUGGAAGCGCCGUCGCUCAACGGAUAAAAGGUACCCCGGGGAUAACAGGCUGAUCUUCCCCAAGAGUCCAUAUCGACGGGAUGGUUUGGCACCUCGAUGUCGGCUCGUCGCAUCCUGGGGCUGGAGUCGGUCCCAAGGGUUGGGCUGUUCGCCCAUUAAAGCGGUACGCGAGCUGGGUUUAGAACGUCGUGAGACAGUUCGGUCCCUAUCCGCUGUGCGCGUAGGAGUCUUGAGAAGGGCUGUCCCUAGUACGAGAGGACCGGGACGGACGGACCUCUGGUGUGCCAGUUGUUCUGCCAAGGGCAUGGCUGGUUGGCUACGUUCGGAAAGGAUAACCGCUGAAAGCAUCUAAGCGGGAAGCCUGCUUCGAGAUGAGGNCCGGAUAUGGAAGCCCUGUAAGGGGUGGAGUUGACCGGUACUAAUAGGCCGAGGGCUUGUCCAU
rnacentral:rRNA from 1 species